rnacentral:rRNA from 1 species
UACGGGGGGAGCGAGCGUUAAUCGGAAUUACUGGGCGUAAAGCGUGCGUAGACGGUUAUUUAAGUCGGGUGUGAAAGCCCCGGGCUCAACCUGGGAAUUGCAUUCGAGACUGAAUAGCUAGGGUACGGUAGAGGGAAGUGGAAUUUCCGGUGUAGCGGUGAAAUGCGUAGAUAUCGGAAGGAACAUCAGUGGCGAAAGCGACUUCCUGGACCAGUACCGACGUUCAGGCACGAAAGCGUGGGGAGCAAACAGG